GUGCAUUUCCUUUUCCUUCAAUAAUUGGAAAAUACAAAUCCAGGAGGGUAACUCCAGUGAAACCACAACUAAACUGAACAGAAAGCGGCAAACUUAACUAAUACGAUGUAAAGAUGGCCUUCAAGGAAACCAUAUAUCACAAACAAAAACAAUAAAAUGUAGAAAAUGUAAUUUCUUCUGCACAUUAAUCUUAUUUCCAAAUGUGCAUCUGUUUGAAUCUAAAUCCAAUACCUGGAUUGAGCUAUGUACACACUAGGUAACUACCAAAUAAGAAUAUGCCCCUCAGAUCCUUAUUUCAUUUUGGUGAUCGGUAUAACUUGACUCAGCUGCUAGAAGAUUAUGCCGGCUUUUGGAGAAAAAAGAAGUUGAAAUUUACAAAAGAAAUUGUUAAAGAAUCAAGCUAACACAUAACUUCCUAGAACAAGAAGCAAUUAAUGAUGUUGUGCAGGCUAAUAAUACCCCUUGCCAUGCUCUGAUUUCAAUUAACCGUGGACAUUGCACUGCUGUAAGUAUGGAUGAUCAUAGUUGACGUGUUUGGUCCAGUAACUCUUAUAAUAUCCAAUACCUAUAUCCAACCAUGGUUUCAUGACUCCAUCAUAGUGCAACACUGCUGCUCGGUCAAUGUCAUCCUGUCUAAUGCCGAAGUCGUAACCUAGCCCUAGUCUAUGCCAAUUCCGGUCCAAUAUAACUGUCUGAUUAUAGAAGGUUGCCCAACCCAAUGGUAAGCUCCCGGCCUUCCACAGCGGCUUUUUGUAACCCACUUGCAAGUAUUUAUGGUAGAGAGCAGUUAAUUUUCGUCUCCUCCAUUCUUUCAGAUCAAACAAAUUCAUUCCAAAUGCCCACGUGCAUGCCUUGGCAUCAAACCUCUUUGUUACAUAUGGAUCUGAGAAAUUAAUGAACAAAUCCAUCUGGCGAAAUGAAGCUUCACUUUCCUUGCAAGUCUCCACCGCUCCAUUUACUUUGCCCUUCAUAUUAAGACUCCAAAGUCCUGUUAGAUCCUUUUGCACCACAACAUCAUGGUCAAGGAACACAAUCUUAUUUAGCAGAGGGAAGAUAUCUGGUAGAUAGAAACGAAGGUGGUUCAGUGCAGAAGCAUAUCUUGGAUCACGGGAAUUUUGCUGCUUUAAUGUUGAAUUGUACUUGGCUGACAACCAAUCAAAAUUAUCUAUAUUCUGUAUAUGAAUUGUGGCUUUGCUGGGAGGAUUCAAUAAGAACCACAUUGAGAUUGCUGGAAAGUUGAGAGAAUCAGUCACUACAUGGAAAACAAUUUUCUCUGCAUCCUUGGCAGAGGAGACUGUGGAAUUCACAACAACUGCACAAGCCAGGAUAUUGUCAGAGAAAACAGCAUAAUGAUGGAGAAUUGCAUCAUGCAGUCUUUGUUGGUUAGGGAACUGCCUCUCCUCUGGUGGCAAGGCAAAGAAUUGCGCUGUCAACUGCAUAGAAAGGCAGUGAAGGCCUUUUGGCGUGGUCCUUGCAGCAAGCCUAAUAAGAAACAUUGUUUGAUUCUUCUGUGCUUGAACUUGUUCUUCAGCACCGUAAGUCAUGGCACGGAGCUUUGUGACCAUGGCGGAGCAAUGCGGGAAAAUACGACUGGCUUUAGACAAGGAAACCUCCAUGGACUUCAUUUUCUUUAGUGCACUCCUUGAUAAAUCUGCAUCCCACAUAACUUCCCCCAUAGCUCGUUCUAGUUCUUUCAUACGCAGUCUCAACUCUUUUACUAGGUGAGAAUUACUGCCUGGUGGUGCGAAACUCAAGUAUGCUUUGGCUCUAAUGAGCUGAUCUUUCAUCUCCUUUACCUUAUCAUUUGUUUCUCUACGUGCUGGAAUCCGCAAAUUCUGAUGAUGUCGGAUUCUUGAUUGAUUGGAUUGCCUCUGCAACCAAAGUAAAGCACAUAAUAUGCAGAUUGCAGAAGUAUAAUAAAGCUUAUCAUUUGAAUAUCGAUAACAAUGACCGAGGCUUAUCAUUUGAAUAUAGAAAACAACCCUGAAUCAUGAACACAAGGAAAGAACCACAAAACAAAAAGCUACAAAUUAAGAGAAAACCAUCUUAAUUGUUUGUGCAGCACUGGAUCAAUAAAAUUAUGAUGCUAGUGGCACUUCUUAACAUAAUCACUUUCUGCACAAGUUUUUGAUUGUUCCACUUAGCUAAAGUCCAAUGGCCAAAACAAUACAUUUCAUACACAAUUAAAUACCAACUGAAAUCUGACAGAACCUAUGAGUACUAAGUUAACCUUAACAUGGGGCAAAGUUAAGUGAUUUUUCUUACUUAUGCCUCCAUCAGCAAAGCAUGGAGAGCAGGCAAUAGGCCUGGGAUAGUCAAUAUAUGCAUCACAUUCCCAAUGCAUGUUAUUUGGUAGUGUCAUGACACAGCAAACAAAUUAUUGUUUUGCCAUCUGUUCUGCUGCAAGCCAUAUUAUGUAUGACAUCAUAACCUCUUCCACUCACCCAUGUCCUAAUAGUUUGUAGCACUUUUCACUAUUAGUACUUUUCACAUGUUAAAGGAAAUUCAAUAUUUACCACACGUGACCAGAUAAGUACAACCGUCUCUCCACAAUUACCUAUUGAUGCUACAACAAAUUCAUUUCCAAACUUCUUUAUCCAUCAAACUAUUAUUGCCCAUCUCAAAUAGCCUCAUCUUGACUAUGUUCAAUCAAUGGAUGUUCGGUCUCUUAAAUGCCCAAUCUGAACUUCUAAGAACACCAUUAGCAAACAUGAAGUUGUCUCACACUAACAUAUACAUCGAUAUAAAUAUCAGAAUAAUGAGUUGGCAGCAACAGCCUCAAACAAAAUCCAUUUUGCAUGUUGGAUAUACUGAGCAUACAAGCAUAAACAUUAAGCUUUCUACCAACUUAUAAAACAGCUUUUGUGUACGUUAGCACAAGCAGAAAAUUGAACAGAUCCAAGUACAUGUAAAUGAUAUGCCUCCAAUCUAAGUGAUAGUAUUCUAUUAUUUCUAUUAAUUUCAUAAUGACCUUGCAAAAGUAUAAGUUCAUCUAUACACUAUCCAAAUUAGUAAUGGAUUCAAAAAGUGCACUAAUAUACACAGCCCCUUUGACAUGAUUAUAGAAUAACAAGUGCAUAUGUACCCGGUCAUCUGACUUGGAUGAUAAUUUUUCCAGUUGAAUGUGCUUAUUUUCUUCUUUUCUUUCAUGGCUAGUUCCAUGCAGAGGAUGAAUUGUAUAUCCAGUACUUUCAGAUUGUCUUGAAUCAUGACUUCUGUCUCCAUUAUUUUCAGAAUGCUUAGAAUUAUUACUCCAACUAGUAGUACUGUGUUUACCUACUGAAUCCAAAUUAUUUCCUUCAUAAGCAAAUAAUUUAAGCCCUUUCAAGUCUUCACCUGCUUCCUAAAUCACAAAGCACCCAUGUAGACAUAGAUAACUAGCUCAGAAAGUAUAGAACAGGGAACAAAACGAUGAAUGUGAAAGCAACAACGGCGGGGCGCCGCUGGGGGGGUGGGGUUGGGGGUGGGUGUGGAGAAGGGGUAGGAGAGAGAGCAUAAAUGUAAAGCUACCUGCUCAAUUGCCUGAAGUUUUAAAGCAUCUGUCCUAUAUUUCUGCGGCCAAUAAACAGGAACAAUGCUAAAUUAUCCAUAUACCAACCAAUAUCCAUCUAGUGGCAAAGUUAGAGGGAACAUAACAAAUUUUUAUAUUAUUUCAAAUCUGGGAUUUGUAAUAUUUCAUUCUUAAAGCCAAAAUUCUAUAGUCAAUUUAAAUUAUUAUAGUAAAUUUUCUCGGUUAGAAAAAUUUUGUGAUUAACUAUUAACAAGAAGAACAAGAAAAUAAAUCUGAAUCUCUCUUUUUAUCUCUCGAAUUUCCUUAGCAACCGAAAAGGGGGAAAACUGAAUUUUAAGUAGAAGCAAGUUCUUACAAAAGUCGAUAAAUCUUCAACAAAUUCUUUCCGACCUGCCAAAUCACAGGAAGAUCAAUUAACACAUCCAUUAGUAAUCAAACCACCAAAAAAACUGCAGAAACAAGAUGAUCCUAUCUACAGAAGAUGAUUAAUAUUAGAUUAUCAGCUUCAAAUUGAUACAUUACACAAUCAUCAAUCCUAGCGCUGGGAAAGUUCCAUUUGAUAUAAACGAACAAAAAUUUACCGAAGGGAGUGAAGUUUUUGAGCCUAGUGGAGACGAAUAGGAGAGGAGCGAAGACAGUGAAACAAAGCAGAGAGAGGAUCAGAAUCCUCUGCCAUUGAUU
rnacentral:misc_RNA from 1 species